rnacentral:rRNA from 1 species
CGUUAAGUGUCCCGCCUGGGGAGUACGAUCGCAAGAUUAAAACUUAAGGGAAUUGGCGGGGGCUCGCACAAGCGGUGGAGCGCAUUGUUUAAUUGGAUGCUACGCCAAGAACCUUACCAGGCCUUGACAUUCUAUUCUUGAUGCUCAUUUGGAAACAUUUGAGAAAGUCUUUUAUUAGACUGGUAUAGAACAGGUGUUGCACGGCUGUCGUCAGUUCGUCUCGUGAGAGGUAGGGUUAAGUCCUACAACGAACGCAACCCAUACCGUGUGUUGUAUCACUCACGCGGAACCGCCCGGGUAACCGGGAGGAAGGUGUGGAUGACGUCAAGUCAGCGUUGCCCUUAUGGCCUGGGCGACAAAUGCGCUACAAUGGCGUGUACAAUGGGCAGCCACCCCGUGAGGGGGAGCUAAUCCCAAAAACACGUCUCAGUUCGGAUUGAAGGCUGCAAUUCGCCUUCAUGAAGUUGGAAUCGCUAGUAACCGCGUAUCAGCCACGGCGCGGUGAAUACGUUCUCGAGCCUUGCACACACCGCCCGUCACAUAAGCCGAGUUGGGAACAGCCGAAGCUUUUCAUUUGGUUGAGGAGUUAAGCUGGGCUCAGCGAGGAGUGUGAAGUCGUAACAAGGUGUCCCUAGGGGAAUCUGGGGACGGAUCACCUCCUUU